GAUGAACGCUGGCGGCGUGCCUAACACAUGCAAGUCGAGCGAAGCGCUUAAAUUAGAUUUCUUCGGAAUGACGAUUUUUGUGACUGAGCGGCGGACGGGUGAGUAACGCGUGGGUAACCUGCCUCAUACAGGGGGAUAACAGUUAGAAAUGACUGCUAAUACCGCAUAAGACCCCAGCUUCGCAUGAAGCGGUGGUAAAAACUCCGGUGGUAUUAGAUGGACCCGCGUCUGAUUAGCUAGUUGGUAAGGUAACGGCUUACCAAGGCGACGAUCAGUAGCCGACCUGAGAGGAUGACCAGCCACAUUGGGACUGAGACACGGCCCAGACUCCUACGGGAGGCAGCAGUGGGGAAUAUUGCACAAUGGGGGAAAGCCUGAUGCAGCGACGCCGCGUGAAGGAUGAAGUAUUUCGGGAUGUAAACUUCUAUCAGCAGGGAAGAAAGUGACGGUACCUGACGAAGAAGCCCCGGCUAACUACGUG
rnacentral:rRNA from 1 species